rnacentral:rRNA from 1 species
GGGGUGCUCGAGUGGCAACGGGUGAGUAACACGUGAGUAACCUGCCCUUGACUUUGGGAUAACUUCAGGAAACUGGGGCUAAUACCGGAUAGGAGCUCCUGCUGCAUGGUGGGGGUUGGAAAGUUUCGGCGGUUGGGGAUGGACUCGCGGCUUAUCAGCUUGUUGGUGGGGUAGUGGCUUACCAAGGCUUUGACGGGUAGCCGGCCUGAGAGGGUGACCGGCCACAUUGGGACUGAGAUACGGCCCAG